UUUACUUCUUAGCUUUGAAUCUAGGCUCGAGGUUUAUAAGCCCGCCAAGUUGAACAUGGAGCGAUCUGCCCUCUUUGCACUUGGCUCAAACAACUUGUUAUAAUAGAGAAGGGGGAACACAGCAGAAUCAUCGAGGAAACCAAAAUUUCCCAAUAGAAAUGAUGGCAGAGGUAGAGGAAAUGGUUACAGGGGUGGCAGAUCUGGUGGUAGAGGAAGAUAUGGAAAUAGGCUUGUUUGCCAACUCUGUUUUGGUAUCAUUUUGAACAAACAUUCAUGCCUCCACAAAAUUCCAACAACAGGACUUUCCAUCAGCAGGGAUCCUAUCAGCAGCAAGAAUCUUAUCAGCCAACACCCUCUGCCAAUGUUGCUCAGACCAGGGGAUCUUCUAGUUAUGGGAUUCCAUCUUAAUAUGCUCCUUAUGCCUCCUCAUCUUUCAAACAUGAAUAAUGUCUCAGAAUAUUAUGGAGAUUCCAAGGAGAUCAUACUCAGGGGCAUACUUGACAAUGGGCUCUACAAAUUUCUCUUCAACAAGGUUCCCACAUCCCCAUCUUUUCCUACUUCAAUCAAGGCCAAGCCAGUUUCUGCCAAUGCUUGUUCAUCUGCUGCUUUACUUUCUUCUUGUACUCAAUCUGAUAGUUUAGAACUUUGGCACCAAAGGCUUGGACAUUGUGCCUUGGCUAUUGUCAAAAGAAUUCUAUUAGAUUGUAAAAAUCAAUGAAAUCAGAUUUUGUUUGUCA